rnacentral:miRNA from 1 species
UCGGGAAUAUCGGCAUAAUGCA